GGAGAGAUGGCCGAGCGGUCGAAGGCAAGCGUGGGAUUUUCCCACCGUGGGUUCAAAUCCCACUCUCUCCGCCA
rnacentral:tRNA from 1 species